GCUCAAGACGAACGCUGGCGGCGCGCCUUACGCAUGCAAGUCGAACGGUCCUUCGGGACAGUGGCGGACGGCUGAGUAACGCGUAGGUAACCUAUCUCAUGGUGGGGGAUAACACUUCGAAAGAAGUGCUAAUACCGCAUGUGGUCGGUCGGUGAAAUCCCGGCCGAAGAAAGCCGCAAGGCGCCAACGGAGGGGCCUGCGUCCUAUCACGGUAGUUGGUGGGGUAACGGCCUACCAAGCCUGUGACGGGUAGCUGGUCUGAGAGGACGACCAGCCAGAAGGGGACUGAGACACGGCCCCUACUCCUACGGGAGGCAGCAGCGAGGAAUCUUGGGCAAUGGGCGAAAGCCUGACCCAUCGACGCCGCGUGAGGGAAGAAGGCCUUCGGGUCGUAAACCUCUUUUGUGAGGGAAGAAGUUCUGACGGUACCUCACGAAUAAGCCACGGCUAACUACGUGCCAGCAGCCGCGGUAAUACGUAGGUGGCAAGCGUUGUCCGGAUUUACUGGGCGUAAAGGGCUUGUAGGCGGUUCGUUAAGUCUGGUGUGAAAUCUCCCGGCCCAACUGGGAGGGGCCAUCGGAUACUGGCGGACUAGAGGCGGGUAGAGGAAAGCAGAAUUCCCGGUGUAGCGGUGAAAUGCGUAGAUAUCGGGAGGAAUACCAGUGGCGAAGGCGGCUUUCUGGACCUGUCCUGACGAUGAGGAGCGAAAGCGUGGGGAGCAAACCGGAUUAGAUACCCGGGUAGUUCACGCCCUAAACUGUGGAUGCUAGGUGUGGGGGGUGUCGACCCCCUCCGUGCCGCAGCUAACGCUUUAAGCAUCCCGCCUGGG
rnacentral:rRNA from 1 species